rnacentral:rRNA from 1 species
AUUGAACGCUGGCGGCAGGCCUAACACAUGCAAGUCGGACGGUAGCACAGGGGAGCUUGCUCCUCGGGUGACGAGUGGCGGACGGGUGAGUAAUGUCUGGGGAUCUGCCCGAUAGAGGGGGAUAACCACUGGAAACGGUGGCUAAUACCGCAUAAUGUCGCAAGACCAAAGAGGGGGACCUUCGGGCCUCUCACUAUCGGAUGAACCCAGAUGGGAUUAGCUAGUAGGCGGGGUAACGGCCCACCUAGGCGACGAUCCCUAGCUGGUCUGAGAGGAUGACCAGCCACACUGGAACUGAGACACGGUCCAGACUCCUACGGGAGGCAGCAGUGGGGAAUAUUGCACAAUGGGCGCAAGCCUGAUGCAGCCAUGCCGCGUGUAUGAAGAAGGCCUUCGGGUUGUAAAGUACUUUCAGCGGGGAGGAAGGCGAUGUGGUUAAUAACCGCGUCGAUUGACGUUACCCGCAGAAGAAGCACCGGCUAACUCCGUGCCAGCCGCCGCCGUAAGAC